rnacentral:rRNA from 1 species
GUAGAAGUAUGCAUGCAAAGCUGAAACCUAAUGGAAUUGACGGAAAGCCGGCGCCAGAAGUGGAGCCUGCGUCUUGAUUUGACUCACACGGGAAAACUUAUUUGGCCUGGACGCUCGAAGGAUUGACAUAUUGAGAGCUCUUUCUUGAUUCGGUGGAUGGCGCUGUAUGGCCGCUCUUAGUGGGUGGAGAGAUUUCUUUGGUUGAUUUCGAUAACGAACAAGACUUGAGCCUAUUGAAGAGGGGCGUAUUUCUCUACAAUUUGAACCAUUCUUAGAGGGACAUGUGGCUCCUAACCGCAGAAAACAGAGCAAUGGCAGAUCUGCAAUGCCCCUAGAUGUCCGGGGCCGCACGCAAGCAAUACUGCAGGAAGCAGCGUGUUUUUAUCUCUGUCUGCAUAGAGGGAGUAACCCGUAGAACCACCUUCGUGAUCGCCUUGAACGAGAAAUUCUCAGUAAGCGCGAGUCAUAAGCUCGCGUUGAUUAUGUCCCUGCCCUUUGUACACGCCACCCGUCGCUAUACCACCGAUCGAAUGAUUUAGGGACCAAGAGGGACAAAGGACACCGGUUGCGCGGUUUCAACACACCGGUUGCGCCGGUGUGUUGAAACGAUGACCGAACUUGAUAAUCUAGAAGAAGUGAAAGUCGUAACAAGGUUUCUGUAGGUGCACCUGGAGAAG